rnacentral:lncRNA from 1 species
GAUUUGUGAGAGCUUCCGUCAAUUUAAGAAUUUUGAACAUACAAAUGAUUAUAAAUGAGACCCUAAAAUGAACAUUAUGUUUGAGUUGAUAAAAAUGAACAUUAUGUUUGGGUUGAUAAAAAUGAACAUUGUGUUUGGGUUGAUCGUAAGAUACCAGCUAUCCAACAAUAACAAUAUCACCAGCUGAUCCCAUAAAGAGCUAAGAAGCUAUUUUAUACGUACCAAACUGCAAAUUUCCAGAG